rnacentral:tRNA from 1 species
UGGAUCACCUCCUAACAGGGAGACAACAAAAUGUUUAAUAUUAUUUUGUCACCUUAGGUCGAUCGGUAUCUCACGUUUUUAAUUUAUUAAGAAUUUCAUUUCCUAAGUUUUUCUAGGUCACACCCAUUCUUUUCCUGGGCCAUUAGCUCAGGUGGUUAGAGCGCACCCCUGAUAAGGGUGAGGUCCCUGGUUCAAGUCCAGGAUGGCCCAUAUCUCUAUGUUGGGGGUAUAGCUCAGUUGGUAGAGCGCCUGCUUUGCAAGCAGGAUGCCAGCGGUUCGAGUCCGCUUACCUCCACUGAUUACCACCUCUUCCAUAAUUUUCAGAAAGGAAAUUUUUGAGUUGUGAUCAAAAUCUGAACGAAUCUAGCUUCCUAAUGAAAUUAUUAAGAUGCUGGACUCACUGAAAUUUUUUUUCAUUGUUUUCAGAGAACCUUGACAACUGCAUAGAUUUUUUUAAAGACAAUUAAGCAUCUUUUAUGAUGCAGAUUUAUUAUUUGUGCUAAUGCAUUAAUAACAAUUCUAUUAAGCUGAUGCUUCAAUUUUUUGAAGUUAUUGGUCAAGCUACAAAGGGCUCACGGAGGAUACCUAGGCACACAGAGGCGAUGAAGG